CACGUAGGGGGCGAGCGUUGUCCGGAUUUAUUGGGCGUAAAGAGCUCGUAGGCGGCUCGGUAAGUCGGGUGUGAAAACUCGGGGCUCAACCCCGAGACGCCACUCGAUACUGCUGUGGCUUGAGUCCGGUAGGGGAGCGUGGAAUUCCUGGUGUAGCGGUGAAAUGCGCAGAUAUCAGGAGGAACACCAGUAGCGAAGGCGGCUCGCUGGGCCACACCUGACGCUGAGACGCGAAAGCUAGGGGAGCGAACAGG
rnacentral:rRNA from 1 species